GACGAACGCUGGCGGCGUGCCUAAUACAUGCAAGUAGAACGAGUUGCGAACGGGUGAGUAACGCGUGGGAACCUGCCUCAUAGCGGGGGAUAACUAUUGGAAACGAUAGCUAAUACGCCAUACUGUGAGAUGGAUCUGCAUUGUAUUAGCUAGUUGGUGAGGUAAAGGCUCACCAAGGCGACGAUCCCUAGCUGGUCUGAGAGGAUGAACAGCCACACUGGAACUGAUACACGGUCCAGACUCCUACGGGAGGCAGCAGUGGGGAAUAUUGCACAAUGGGCGCAAGCCUGAUGCAGCCAUGCCGCGUGGAUGAAGAAGGCCCUCGGGUUGUAAAGUACUUUCAGCGGGGAGGCGUUACCCGCAGAAGAAGCACCGGCUAACUCCGUGCCAGCAGCCGCGGUAAUUC
rnacentral:rRNA from 1 species